GACCGUCCGGUGGCAUUGUGGUUAGAGCGUCCGCCUCGAAUGCGGGAGGUCGUGUGUUCGAUCCCAGGUCUAGUCA